ACACUUACCUGGAUGAUGUCAAUGGGCGAUCAAAAAGGUCCAUGGCCUAGGUUGGUGACCUUCAUUGCACUCUGGAGGGGUGCCCACCUAAGGUCGGCCCAAGUGGUCGAGCCUACGUCAUAAUUUGUGGCAGCUGGAGCCUGUGUUCGCGCGGCCCCUGC
rnacentral:snRNA from 1 species